GCUCAGGAUGAACGCUAGCGACAGGCUUAACACAUGCAAGUCGAGGGGCAGCACAGGUAGCAAUACCGGGUGGCGACCGGCGCACGGGUGAGUAACGCGUAUGCAACUUGCCUAUCAGAGGGGGAUAACCCGGCGAAAGUCGGACUAAUACCGCAUGAAGCAGGGAUCCCGCAUGGGAAUAUUUGCUAAAGAUUCAUCGCUGAUAGAUAGGCAUGCGUUCCAUUAGGCAGUUGGCGGGGUAACGGCCCACCAAACCGACGAUGGAUAGGGGUUCUGAGAGGAAGGUCCCCCACAUUGGUACUGAGACACGGACCAAACUCCUACGGGAGGCAGCAGUGAGGAAUAUUGGUCAAUGGCCGAGAGGCUGAACCAGCCAAGUCGCGUGAGGGAUGAAGGUUCUAUGGAUCGUAAACCUCUUUUAUAAGGGAAUAAAGUGCGGGACGUGUCCCGUUUUGUAUGUACCUUAUGAAUAAGGAUCGGCUAACUCCGUGCCAGCAGCCGCGGUAAUACGGAGGAUCCGAGCGUUAUCCGGAUUUAUUGGGUUUAAAGGGUGCGUAGGCGGCCUUUUAAGUCAGCGGUGAAAGUCUGUGGCUCAACCAUAGAAUUGCCGUUGAAACUGGGGGGCUUGAGUAUGUUUGAGGCAGGCGGAAUGCGUGGUGUAGCGGUGAAAUGCAUAGAUAUCACGCAGAACCCCGAUUGCGAAGGCAGCCUGCCAAGCCAUUACUGACGCUGAUGCACGAAAGCGUGGGGAUCAAACAGGAUUAGAUACCCUGGUAGUCCACGCAGUAAACGAUGAUCACUAGCUGUUUGCGAUACACUGUAAGCGGCACAGCGAAAGCGUUAAGUGAUCCACCUGGGGAGUACGCCGGCAACGGUGAAACUCAAAGGAAUU
rnacentral:rRNA from 1 species